CUAUGUUUUCCCUGCCCAGUCAUUGUGCUUGCUUUAAUGUUACACACAGUUUUCAGCGCCACCUCUUUAAGGAUAGUUUUUUUUGUGUGGCUGUCUGCUCAACUCUGCCUAGAUGGUUGCACAUUCAUCAACCAACGCUGAGUUUAUUGGGUAUUAAAUCCUACUGGUUUUUAAUUACGGCAAAUGCCCUCGAUGUGAAAUGGAAUUAUUGUAAUAUUGAAAGAUCGAGGGGGGGUGGGGGGUGGUUUAGACACGGCAUGUUCGCGGGUCACAAUGAACGGGGCACCAGCAGAGAUAUGUCCUGUUAAUGAAUGCUUACUCAGAUUAGCAGUUGCUAAUAUCUCACCACCCCUAGAAGAUUGGUCAGUGCAAAAUUCAUCUCUGGUCUUCACCAGAUGAAAGUGAUUAUUCUGUGGACAGUUCAGUUUCCAGUAAUCACAGCAGCAAAACAGCUUUGCCAGAUUGGAUGUGUUUUCUUCCCCACCCCCCUCCACCCCCCACUCUGGGGACACACCACACUAUUCUGGAAGAAAUAUUUAGCUGUGCCUUUGGGGGUAGCACCUCAUGUUAAAGCUGCCUUUGCGAUCCUUUUUCUGAUAUGUAAAAUUCCAGUUUUAAUAGCCAUGUGUACAAGAGGGUUUCUAAAUAAUAGUGCCGGGUCAGUGAAGAGUGACUGUACAACGAAUAACUCUGAGGCAAUGGUACGGCCUUUUAAGACCAUUUUUCCGAUCAAAUUCUUAAUGUCUCAUUUCUUGCGUAGUUGGGUUGGGGAGGUAGCGAUUUGGUGCAGAAAUCUGUACCUGUGCCCACAAGUCAAUACUUACAUGGUGUCCAUCUUGGAACGAUUAGGGUGGGUUUUUUUGGUUUUUUUUGCCCUUAAGUCCAUAAUGUUCAAUCCACUUCAAGCACCAUAGUACGAGACUUCAAUCUGUAAACAACCGCAAGAGUAGAGCCUACACAAGCAAAAACAAGUGUCGGAAGGAAGCACGAUGUCUGCAUACUUCCUGGUUACCCAACGGUCAAAUGCUCACAGACUGGUCUUCGAUAGAAUUUUACUAAUCCUGCACAUCUAAUGCUGUUUUAAUACCAGAGAUUUCUUUCUUUUUACCCAACAAUGACAAACUUGUCGCAGCCUUUGAUGUCUGCUGGUAUAACUUCAUCUAACUGAUGGGUGGAUAAGUGCAUGGCAUCUCAAUGUUCAGUCACUUAACUGCAUGCCUGGAGCUUGAUGUGGUGAUUGGCUUCCCUGGUAGUUCAGUAAAGUGCUCAGUCAAGUAGAGAACACUCAGUUCCAGACUUGUCGUACUUUAACGUAUACCAUAUACCAUUGUUGGUCACGGCGGUAUGUGUCCCCUCCCCCUCCCCCCACGCUGGGAACUGGAUUGACCCCUGAUUUACCUCGCUCACUUAGCAACAGAAGUCGCAGGUUCUGCUACUUUAGAGAUAUUUCCCUCCAAAAAUGUAUUUCCUGCUCCAAGAUUAUUGCCAAAAGGCAAUGGGAGUUUUGACAAUGUCCAAUAUUUUUCAUCCCGGGUGCAUGAGAUUUAACCAUCCAUAACUUUGCCACUAUCUUUAUUCAUUCUGCUGCUAAAAGAUAGACCUGCACACUGCCCCCCUCCCCUUGUUGACAACAGAAUUCUGGGCACUUUAUGGAUGGGAUUAACGUAGAGGUCGGUCGGCUACAGAAUCAAAUUUACCAAUCAAUGUGGAAAUCAAAGCUAGACUCAAAGCUGAAGUGGGACAGGCAGUUUCUUAACUCAGUGGGACAGGCAGUAUCUCAAGAGAAGGAAUGGUCCCUCCUUCUUGAGACCUGAAAUGUCACCCAUUCCUUCUCUCCAGAGAUGCUGCCUGUCCCGCUGAGUUAAGGCCCUGUCCCACUUUCCGGAGUUACGAACUCUCCCGCAUUUUUCCCUUGAUUCGAACUCGGAGAAUUACGGUAAUAGCCGUUCGUAAGUACUCGGGGCUAUUUUUUUCAUGUUGAACAUGUUGAAAAAACGUCCCGACUUACCUGAUGCCCCGAGUUCCUACGCUGACAUUCUGAGCCGCUACGAAACAUCUGCGGGCUCGCUGCUGAUGUUACCCGACAUUCCCCAAGUUCGAAUCAAGGGGAAAACUCGGGAGAGCUUGUGAGUAACUCGGGAAAUUGCGACAGGGUCUCAACUCCAGCUUUUUGUGUCUAUCUUCGGUUUAAACUAGCAUCUGCAGUUCCUUCCUACACAAUGUGGCAAUCAAGCUUUCAGCUCUCAAAUGAGAAAUGUAACCUUUGACAACUAGCUGCAAAACCUCUAACAUCCAGUGAGCAGGGAGGGGCUUGCUCUUGUUUCCAUUACUCAUGUUUAAGUAGCCAGUGUGCACCAGUCUGUGAGCAUAUUGUAAUAACUGCACAGUUGAAAGUGCUGGGCGUUGUGUUUCUCAAUCAGCUGGGAUGGUGGACAGCAAGCAGUCUUGAGUUCAGCUGCACAAGAGGACAGCAACCCUACAGGCAGGCACCCACCCUGUCAAUUUGUGGACAGCUAGCUUCUUGAGCCAUGGUGGACCUUCCCCUCAGAGUUGUUUUUCUUGCAUUUUCACACUUGAGUGGUAAAUAAAUAAAUAACUGGCUUGAGGAUUUAAAAAAAAAAAAAAAAAAAGUUUUUUUGUGGAACGAAACGUUACUUUGCGAAAAGUCUGGUGAAAUGUGUUGAUCCUGUUUGUGUCCAUGUUGCCUAAGUGACAGCAAUCCUUCUGAGCGAUCUGCGAUCUGUGUUCAAAUGAAGAGUCUCUCUAUGCACACGUUCUUUCAAAAAACAUAGGUUGGCUCUCUUGCAGUACAGCUCCCUUCAUGAAGUGGCAACAGAAGUUUCUGUUCCACAGUUAACACUCUGCAGCAGGAUGAUAAAGUAGACGCACAGAAAAAAAGCUGGUGGGCUAAUUGUCACCACCCAAAAAACGCAGGAGUUAAAACAAACGUUCCCCCUCACCUUGACGGGAACCAACUUGCAUAGGAAUUCCACUUCUGUUUCUUCGUUGUCUUUUGGACUCAGUUGCCACAAAAUGAAGCUUGAGAUUCACAGCUGGAGUUGGGGAUGCUCUUUAUCCCUUUCAAUGACCAAAGGUUGGAAAAUGUCAAUGAAUGCUCCUGUUCAGAAAUGUGUCUCCAUGUCCUGGAUACUUCUCCGCCCUGCCGCUCCGUUUCACAUCCACUUGGGGGGAAAAAACAAGCCUGUGACAGGAUAUAAAAGUUGUACUGAUGCCUACUGUGUGUUCAAGAUUAUACAAGUACCAUGGGAGAGGUUGGAUUUAUUAAAAAAAAACAAACAAAAUUGCUGGCAAAGGCUCUCCUGCCCAGACAAAGCUCGGCCGAGUGUAAAAUUCAAAUUCGGAGGUGAACUCAGUUUUUGGGUCCACUCCACUUCAGCCAUUUCAAAGUCCAAAAGUGUGCAAGGAAAUGACUCUCAAACACGUCCGAUGCUUCAGGGAAUGGUUAAAAGCGCAUCCAGUCCUUUGUUGCCUCUCUGAAGGCCCGUGGUGGUUCGGCAUUUUCUGGAAAAGCUCUUCCACCCAGGAGGUUUGCGAUCUGCUGGCGGGACAGGCACGUGCGUUAAUUGGCGUUUUCGACAGUGGCGGCCCUCGCUGGCGGAGCGGGCCGCCGCAGCUGCCUGGUGUUAAUGCUACAAAUGUUGACAGGUGCUCUCUCGGGGUAUCUGGCUCUGUGCUGGCCCCAAGGUUCUGCAGAUGAAGCAAAGCCCGGCAUCUGGACUGUGCUGCCUAAAACAAGCCAGCCAUGUCUGUGUGCCUGGGCCUUGCUUCAUGCCGUUUCUCUGUUCCUGAACUAUCAUGUCGUGUACAACCCAUAAGGGUCUGAUGAUUUCUGAAAGUUAAUGCAGGCAGCCUGAAAUUCAAUUUCAAUUCUUCCCCCUCCCCCAAAAGAACAGUUGGCACCUCUAUAUGGGGGACACAGUGGUAGAGUUGCUGCCUAGUUCCAGCACUUGCAACCGGAGACCCAGGUUCCCUCCCGACUAUGUUCUCCCCAUGACCCACGUGGGCUUUCUCCGACAUCAUCGGUUUCCUCCCACACUCCAAAGACGUACGGGCAUGUAGGCUAAUUGGCUUGGUAGAUGUUUUUAAAAAAUUGUUCCUAGUGUGUGUGUGUGUGUGUGUGUGUGUGUGUGUGUGUGUGUGUGUGUGUGUGUGUGUGUGGGUUGCAGGUCAGCGCAGACCCAUUGGGCUAAAGGGCCUGUUUCCACGCUGUAACUAAACUAAUGGAUGCUUGGCUCGCACCAAUCCUGCUCCUGCUUUUAGCAUGAGUGCCCUGUCCUUCCAAAAUCAAGCCCGAUGGCACCGGGCAGUAGGUGGGCCGACUGGAAUCACUCAACAGCCUUGACUUCCUCCUGGGUCUCUGUCAAUGUAACCAUUCCAUCUUAACCACUGACACAAACGCCAAGAAAAAUGAGGCACAAUUUGUGACUGAUUUUUACCGAUCAUUGUGGGGAAAUUUUCUUUAGUAUCCGCCUUGUUCAUUGGUCCAAUAUUCCACUCUUCCCUGAGAUGGGGGGGGGGUCUCAAAGUGAUUUGACAUCCGCCCUGUUACUAAAGGUGUCUUGUCUCUCCGGCCCUGUUCUCUAGGCUGCUGGGAAGCUCAUUAAGUUAACCCUUGGAGUGUGGUGGUUACAUUCUGUCACGUUUUUUUUUAAAAUAAUAAUAAUAAUAAUCUUUAUUUAUAUAGCACUUUUCAACAAAACCAGUAUUUGAACCAAAGUGCUUUACAGAGUUUGAUUAAAUUAAUAGAACAGACCAAAUGUCAAUAUAUCCAUACAAAACAAAAAAGUGAAAAAAGAAAAAAGAAAAAAAAAAAAAAAAAAAGAAUUUUGUUUAAAUUGGCUGCCUAUACUCCCAUACUCUCCUCAUGUGGAAAAGGGCUUCUAUUUUUGUGUGCUGCCCAAUGUGGUCUCUGCUUGCUGCCCGUGUACGGGAAGACAGGUCAGAAAGUCCUUCACAAACGGUCAGCCAUAUUGUUAUCGCUGUCAAAUCCAAUCUGCUGUAAAAAUGCAGAGCACGAUUCAGAUUCAGAUUCAGAUUCAAUUUAAUUGUCAUUGUCAGUGUACAGUACAGAGACAACGAAAAUGCAUUAGAGACAACGAAAUUCGAUGCUGCUGAUUUGUUGUGAACAGUAAAAAUUGAUAUGAUGAAUGUUCGUCAUCGCUGGAUCCAGUGUCUGCCUGCAUGGGGUGGGCUUCAGCGAUGUGAUUUUGCGAGUUGCUGCUUUCACAGGUGUCCGUCCGUGAAGGGAAAGUGAUGUAAAGACAAUUGAUGGUGCUCAGCACAUCAGGCUGCGGGUGCGGGCGGUGUUCUCCGACCAGCACUCGGUGCUGAGAGGCAACGUGGCCUCUGUGAAAGCAGAGCCCCUCGACCGCUGUUUCGACCUGUUUGGCCAGGCCAACACCAUCUUGAAAUCCCGCG